rnacentral:rRNA from 1 species
CACGUAGGGCGCAAGCGUUGUCCGGAAUUAUUGGGCGUAAAGAGCUCGUAGGCGGUCUGUUGCGUCGGGAGUGAAAACUCAGGGCUUAACCCUGAGCUGCUUCCGAUACGGGCAGACUAGAGGUAUGCAGGGGGAGAACGGAAUUCCUGGUGUAGCGGUGAAAAUGCGCAGAUAUCAGGAGGAACACCGGUGGCGAAGGCGGUUCUCUGGGCAUUACCUGACGCUGAGGAGCGAAAGUGUGGGGAGCGAACAGG